UCUCCUUGGCGGUAAUACGACGUGUCUCCUAGAUACCAAGCUAAUCUACAUUAAGUGCAGUUUACUCAGUGCGGUCGACGUAGUAAAGUCGAAUAGGAGUGACCAAUGAGUAAUGGAUUACGAUGCUUGAGCAUUUGGAUUAGGCUGACUACGUCACCGCAUUAGCAAACAGAGCUGUCGUUUACGGGUCAAGUAUACGCCAGGAAGUAAACGAAACAACAGCCUGCCAUACGUAAUAUAUCAACUGGUGUAAAAAUCUUCUUGUUUAUACUCAUAAACCUACUUCCAUUUCCUUAUCUUUACGUGUAAAAUUAAAGAAAGAGUGGGGUGGCAAGACACUGGAAGAACUGUAAAUGGGCAUUUUCAUUUUAAUUUGUACUUUUCUCAAGUCUGUCAUCCCUAAAUUCGUUGUUGUGAACGGUAUGGUGUUUUGCAUCAGUUUCGAGUGUGUAGAGGCCGCUAAUCGGCCACGGUACGUAAUUAAAUGAAAACACCCAGAUAUAUGUGAAUGCACUCGGCAGGCGCUUUGCCGUGUACCUCCGCCAGGUUAGUAAUGGAGGAGGACAGUCGCUGCAGCGAGGUCCGGCGCUGCGUGGUGACUAGCUUGCGCACUACGUUUAUAGGCCGCCGCAGGCCGAGCAUGGCCUGGGAUGCGAAAGACUCGGAAACGGUCGCUUCUUCGCUGUCUUCCUGUAUCGAUGGGACCUUAAAACCAAACAUCCUUUUUUCUACGAAAACACUGCUUCGAAGGAACUAAGUGACAUUAACUAAUCUUAACGUUUCGGAGACGGGGAUUACUCAUAUGACUAAUUAAACAGAGCAUAAAGGUAAAGUAUUACAGCCUGAUAUCGAUAUUAUCAAUUUAUAUGAUAAUUUAGAAUAUGCAAAUAAAAAGUAUAAAA